GUGCCAGCAGCCGCGGUAAUACGUAGGUGGCAAGCGUUGUCCGGAAUUACUGGGCGUAAAGGGCGAGUAGGCGGUUAAACAAGUCAGAUGUGAAAUGCAUGGGCUCAACCCAUGGACUGCAUUUGAAACUGUUUGACUUGAGUGCGGUAGAGGAAAGUGGAAUUCCCAGUGUAGCGGUGAAAUGCGUAGAUAUUGGGAGGAACACCAGUGGCGAAGGCGACUUUCUGGGCCGUAACUGACGCUGAGGCGCGAAAGCGUGGGGAGCAAACAGGAUUAGAUACCCUGGUAGUCCACGCCGUAAACGAUGGAUGCUAGGUGUGGGAGGUAUCGACCCCUUCCGUGCCGGAGUUAACGCAAUAAGCAUCCCGCCUGGGGAGUACGACCGCAAGGUUGAA
rnacentral:rRNA from 1 species